UACGUAGGUCCCGAGCGUUGUCCGGAUUUAUUGGGCGUAAAGCGAGCGCAGGUGGUUUAAUAAGUCUGAUGUAAAAGGCAGUGGCUCAACCAUUGUGUGCAUUGGAAACUGUUAGACUUGAGUGCAGUAGAGGAGAGUGGAAUUCCAUGUGUAGCGGUGAAAUGCGUAGAUAUCGGGAGGAAGGCCGGUGGCGAAGGCGGCCUCCUGGGCCUGCACUGACGCUGAGGCGCGAAAGCGUGGGGAGCAAACCGG
rnacentral:rRNA from 1 species